rfam:Flavobacterium cauense R2A-7 FCR2A7T_1, whole genome shotgun sequence.
CAGUAGUAUGCGUUAGGGAUUGCAGCGGCAUCCUUUUUUUGGUCAUUGAGGCUCUCGAAAUGACCAAAAAAAGAUACAGCGAAAAGCCCGGCCUGAA